CUAAAUCAGAUUGGAAUGUGAACUGUUAGCGGUUUUGAACUGACCCUGCAUGUGCAAAAGAACAAUGACAUCAGACGCAGCGCGCUGUUGCACAAAAGUUAGGGAGAUUAUGGAGGAAGUAAGCAUUUUCCCUUUUAUUUCAAAAUGUUUGUGUAAUGGCAGCCGUAAUAAUGAGCAGGUGCUCUUCACCUUCCUUUGACACUGCAGUCAAGUUGUCCUGUGUCCUUGUUAUUCCAUUUUGUUUGCUAUUUUUUCAAAAACUGAGCAGAUUCUGUAUGAUCCUUAUAGUUUUGAUUGAUUUGAAAUAUCUCCCCAUACACUAAUUAGGUCCAACACCUCACUCUCCUUCCAUUGACUUGCUCCAUUAUUGUUCUCCCUUUUGUAGACCUACUCAAGUUUUUAAUUUUACUGUAUUGUCUAGGGCUAACUCCCACCGGCACAUAAUUGUGACAAAUGUUGAUGUAAAUUGACACAAAUGUCGCAUCAAAUCCACCUCGGUUGUUCAAACUGUGGCCGCAUUGAAAAAAAU